AGGACGAACGCUGGCGGCGUGCUUAACACAUGCAAGUCGAGCGGAAAGGCCCUUCGGGGUACUCGAGCGGCGAACGGGUGAGUAACACGUGAGUAACCUGCCCUGGACUUUGGGAUAACCCUCGGAAACGGGGGCUAAUACCGGAUACGACUUUUCCUCGCAUGGGGAUUGGUGGAAAGUUUUUCGGUCUGGGGAUGGGCUCGCGGCCUAUCAGCUUGUUGGUGGGGUGAUGGCCUACCAAGGCGACGCGGGUAGCC
rnacentral:rRNA from 1 species